UACAGCAGCAGAGGGUGCAUGAGAGUCCAAUAGGAGGGAUGUGAGGAACAGUAAAAUGGGAUUAGUAAGAGUGGCGGUGGAGAUGCAUCGUGGGUAAUAAUCCUUAACCGGGGCAGCAGGCAGCGUGAAAGGAUGGAUGGAUGACACCCCCUCCCCCUCCCUUUCCACCCACUCCACAGGGUAAAUGGUGACCCCCACGAGCAAAUCCACUACCCUCCAUCUGUGACUGUGCUUUUUAAGAGCCCCCCACUGCUCAAGUGUUACAGGGAGAGGCAAUGAGAGGAUAUACCAAGGCUUUUAUUCCAUCGGAAAGUCUCUACUGUAGAGACAACACAAGAGAAUGAUGGAAAACAAAUGAGUUUUUUCGGAGAGAAGAAAAGCU